UUUCUCUGUUAAUACCGGGAAGAUCAUCAGCAACUAAAGCCAUUAAUGCCAUUCGAUACAUAUGAUCGGCAAUAGACUCGGGACCUUUAAUUCCUUGAUUGACCCAUCCCUUCCUUUUCGUGGCUAUGACAGAGCGUGAGGAAAUCAAUGGUGGAAGACGAAGAAGAAGUGGGGUGUGUAGAAUGAGAUGUUGUGGGUUCAAAUUUGGGGAUUUGACAACGAACUGAUGCUAAUUUACGAUCAUGAAAGGGGGGUUUGAGGAAAGCAGAAGGAUGAAGGGGUUGAGGGUUUG
rnacentral:lncRNA from 1 species